rnacentral:pre_miRNA from 11 species
CUCUCUCCCAACCCUUGUACCAGUGCCAACUGUAGUCCUCACUGGUACAGAGGAUGG